AACGAACGCUGGCGGCAGGCCUAACACAUGCAAGUCGAACGCCCGUAGCAAUACGGGAGUGGCAGACGGGUGAGUAACGCGUGGGAACGUGCCCUUCGGUUCGGAAUAACUCAGGGAAACUUGAGCUAAUACCGGAUACGUCCGUAAGGAGAAAGAUUUAUCGCCGAAGGAUCGGCCCGCGUCGGAUUAGCUAGUUGGUGAGGUAACGGCCCACCAAGGCGACGAUCCGUAGCUGGUCUGAGAGGANGAUCAGCCACACUGGGACUGAGACACGGCCCAGACUCCUACGGGAGGCAGCAGUGGGGAAUCUUGCACAAUGGACGAAAGUCUGAUGCAGCGACGCCGCGUGUGGGAUGACUGCCCUCGGGUUGUAAACCACUUUCAGCAGGG
rnacentral:rRNA from 1 species